rnacentral:rRNA from 1 species
GGCGGCGUGCCUAAAACAUGCAAGUCGAACGGUUCCUUCGGGGGCCGUGGCAGACGGCUGAGUAACGCGUGGGUGACCUGUCCGCUGGUGGGGAAUAACUGCCCGAAAGGGUGGCUAAGACCGCAUGAGCGCCCCGAUGUCAAGUCGGGGCGGAAAGCCGCAAGGCGCCAGUGGAGGGGCCCGCGUCCGAUUAGCUAGUUGGUGGGGUAACGGCCUACCAAGGCGACGAUCGGUACCGGGUCUGAGAGGAUGAUCCGGCAGACUGGGACUGGGACACGGCCCAGACUCCUACGGGAGGCAGCAGUUAGGAAUUUUGGGCAAUGGGCGCAAGCCUGACCCAGCAACGCCGCGUGGGUGACGAAGGCCUUCGGGUCGUAAAGCCCUUUUCUGGGGGACGAUGAUGACGGUACCCCAGGAAGAAGCACCGGCUAACUACGUGCCAGCAGCCGCGGUAAUACGUAGGGUGCGAGCGUUGCCUGGAUUCAUUGGGCGUAAAGGGCGCGUAGGCGGCCGCGCACGUCCCCCGUGAAAUCGCCCGGCUCAACCGGGCGGGGUCGGGAGAUACGGCGCGGCUGGAGCCAGGCAGGGGCCGGCGGAAUUCCCGGUGUAGUGGUGGAAUGCGUAGAGAUCGGGAGGAACACCAGUGGCGAAGGCGGCCGGCUGGGCCUGUGCUGACGCUGAGGCGCGAAAGCGUGGGGAGCGAUCCGGAUUAGAUACCCGGGUAGUCCACGCCGUAAACGAUGUGCACUAGGUGUCGGGGGUAUCGACCCCCUCGGCGCCGCAGCUAACGCCUUAA